GUGUCAGCCGCCGCGGUAAUACAGAGACUGCAAGCGUUACUCGGAUUCACUGGGCGUAAAGGGAGCGCAGGCGGAAUCGUGUGUCGGAUGUGAAACCCGGGGGCUCAACUCCCGGACUGCGUCUGAAACUGCGAUUCUAGGGACUCGGAGGGGCUAGUGGAAUUCUUGGUGGAGCAGUGAAAUGCGUAGAUAUCAAGAGGAACACCAACGGCGAAGGCAGCUAGCUGGACGAGAUCCGACGCUCAGGCUCGAAAGUAUGGGGAGCAAAAAGGAUUAGAAACCCCUGUAGUCC
rnacentral:rRNA from 1 species